UCUGUGGCUUUUGCUUGAUUAAUAUGAUUGCCACAUUUUUCACUGUCCCGUCUCCGGCGGCCGCCGCGCCUCUGCAGGUACGGACUUCCAUUAAUUAUGUCCUAAUUGGUUUGGAAAUGCGGCGUGGAAGUUUGUUUUGGAGGACGGCUGCAGUUUGGGGAGCGCUUGGUGAACCUCCUCCUCUGGGUGGAAGACUCCAGGAGGAGAGACUCCCGCCCACACGCCCACGCCAAAACCAGAAGCUAAUGAGCUUACCUGCUGGAUCAAAGAGCGUCGGAAGGGAAGUGAUUACAGCACCGCUGCAGUAAAGCCCCGCCCACCCAGGGAGGACACACCUCUUCUUUCUGGUGAAGAACCACAGAUCUGACUUGGAGAUUCUAAUUCUGGUUCUGGCUGCUUCACACCAGACUCCAAACCACUGCAGUCCACCCUGAAGAUUCUGUUUGAUGAGGAUAACAGAACAUCAUCUGCAAAGUGAGGUUUCCAAACCAGACUCCGCCCUGCUGCUCUAGGAACACCGACCCGAGGCGGUGAUGGCGGGCGGCCGCGUGGCGUCCAGCAUGAGCUGGAAACACGUCUGACUUCCUCCAAACCAAACUCUGUUCUGGUUCUUCAGAUCAGAUCGACCCACAUUAACAUGACACCUCCGCAGGACACUGCAAAGGAGAAGAAGUAAAUGUGAUUGGGUGAACUCCCAUGAUCCUUCAGUCACACUGAUCCGUCGCUCUGUGAUGUCCUCAGAGAUGUUCUGGUCUUUCUGGAUCAUGAACGUGUGGAGGGAGGUGGAACCAGGAUCUUUAGAGGGGGAUGACUGAGCUUUCCCAUGAGCCUUUGCAGCUGCUCUGGGGAUGCUUGUUUUGAAGCAUCUCUCUGGUCUUCCUGGAGGUUUUCUGGUCUCUCUCCAGAUGAAACCAGAACAUGGAUGGAGAUUAAGAGGAUGUGACUUUAAUGACCUGAAGAUUCAGUCCAUCUGAUCUGUUUGCUUCAUCUCCAUCAGUCUCUUCUUCUGUUUUCAUGCCCUCCUGGAGGUCAUUAAACCAGCUUUACCUCGUGGACUCAGCGCUCUGACUGCCCCCUCCUGCCCCCCCCUCAGUGACCCUGACAUGUUUGUAUUUACUGAGGAUUUAGCAGAAAGUGAACAAUUACAUUUUCUCCAGGAGAGUAAUGGUUGGGAGAUUGUUCCGCCGUCUGUCCUUCCUUUCAGGUGGACACUUUGACAGAUUUCAAAUGAGUGUUACCUGGUGUCAAAUGUGGCUCAGCAGCCGCCGCUGUUCUUUCCCUCUCUUUAGAAACGACUGUGGAAGCCCGGCGCCCGGAUCGAUGCGCCCCUUACCCGCUGUAAAUUGGAUGGCCGGGGAUUGAUUCAUCUGAGCGCUGAAGGAGAGCGGCGUGCGGCUCCGGAGGCUGAGGUGCUCUCACAAACACGCCGCGUGUGCCUGCACGCCGUCCUCACUCCUUAAUCGUGUAAUGCGCUCUGCGUGCAGACGCCUGGAUCUGCGGCUGAUCUGGAUAAUGGAGCUGCAGCUCUUGACCCUGAGGGUGAACGCUCAAGCGGCCUUUUGUCUGGCCGAGUCUGCACUCGGCUCACCUGUUCUGCUAGUCAUCGCUCUCCACACCAGACGAGCGAGUCCAAAAAGUCUGUUCAGAUCAUUAAAGGAUCUACUUUUAAAAAUCUUUUCAACCCAAUAAAUCUGUGAUUGACCUGCAAACCUCAA